GCGGGUGUCGUAUAACGGUUAUUACACUACCUUGCCAAGGUAGCAACGGCGGUUCGACUCCGCUCACCCGCUCAA
rnacentral:tRNA from 1 species